GACGAGGUGGCCGAGUGGUUAAGGCGAUGGACUGCUAAUCCAUUGCCCUGCCUGCGUGGGUUCGAAUCCAUCCUCGUCG
rnacentral:tRNA from 1 species